UGUGAAAUUGCUGGUGUCUUAGUUUGGGCUGCUAUGACAAAAUACAUAAACUGGGUGGCUUAUAAACAACAAACUUUAUUUCUUACAGUUCUGGAGGCUGGGAAAUCCAAGAUUAAUAUCAGCAGAUGUGGUGUCUGGUGAAGGCCUGCUUUGCCACAGGUACAAGGGUGUGGACCUGCCUCGUGAUCAGAAUGCCGUAGAAAUGAGAGCUGUCAGCAAUGGGUCUCCACUGCGAAUACUCAGGAAUGAACAAGGCCAUUUUAACUCCAUGGUAAGUGUGGUAAGGGGGAAGCCAAUGUGAAAGUCAGGGAAGUCACAGUCUACUUUAAAUAUUAGUUCCU
rnacentral:lncRNA from 1 species